UCUACGGAGAGUUUGAUCCUGGCUCAGGACGAACGCUGGCGGCGUGCUUAACACAUGCAAGUCGAACGGUGACCUCAGAGCUUGCUCUGAGCGAUCAGUGGCGAACGGGUGAGUAACACGUGAGUAACCUACCCCCUACUCUGGGAUAACUCCGGGAAACCGGUGCUAAUACUGGAUACGACCCAAGCGGGCAUCCGCAUUGGGUGGAAAGUUUUUCGGUGGGGGAUGGACUCGCGGCCUAUCAGCUAGUUGGUGGGGUAAUGGCCUACCAAGGCGACGACGGGUAGCCGGCCUGAGAGGGCGACCGGCCACACUGGGACUGAGACACGGCCCAGACUCCUACGGGAGGCAGCAGUGGGGAAUAUUGCACAAUGG
rnacentral:rRNA from 1 species